CUCACCAUCCCCAAUUCCCCAUCUUCGUCGCGCUACAAGCAGCACCGCCGCCUCCUAGUGCCGCCCCCCUGGAUACCCCACGCACGCGGCCGCUCUGGAUCCCCACCCAUGCCGCCGCCUAGUGUCGUCGCCCCCGCAUCCCCCACCCAUGGCGCCAUCUUCGGAUCCCCAUCCACGCCCCAUUGGAGGUCAGCGGCAAGUUUGGAGGCGACCUCUGGGAACGGCCUGGCGAUCUUGCUUCCGUCCACAGCACACAGUCGACGUUGGCGUCGGCAGGUUCGUUCAGCUUGGCGGCUGCACUGGUGGGGUGAGCCUGGCCUUCGGUGCGCUCUACCCGCAGUUCAACUCUCGUUGCGUGCCCCCGCCGGCCGCCAUCACAGACAGGCCUGCGGGUCUGGCGCCCACCACCUCUCUAUUCUUCUGCUUUCCACACCAUGUGUCCGUACGCUGCUCCCUCUUCCUCCUUUCUGUUCCUCUGUUCUGCUAACUGAAUGGCCCAGAUAAAGUUUAUUCUCGAGAGUUUUGCUGCAUGAUAACUAUGUACUACUAAAUAUGUUCUGUUUUCGUCUCUCUUUCCCUCUUGUUAAAAUCAUAUCCUCACUGCAGCUAUAGCUUAAUCAAUUAAAUUCAUAUGUCCUGUUUAGAAUUUCUGCAGUGAAAAGAGCCCUCUUAAUUCAAAUAGUAAUUUUAGUUGUUGUUCAUAUAUUUUGUUCGCAAUUCUACAGAUAUAUGGAGCCAAUAGAUGUGACUGAAUAUGGGCAUUUCUGGGUCUGCUGUUCUUGGUUGUUCAGAAAUGCAUGGCUCAAGAUUGCUCUGUCUAGAAGCUUUGCAAUGCUGCAUAUUCAGGGAGCCAAUAGAUGUGACUGAAUAUGGGCUUUUGUGGGUCUGCUGUUUUUGGUUGUUCAACAAUGCGUAGCUAACUCAAGUUUGCUCUGACUAGAAGCUGGUACCGGCAAAUGUCAAUGUGGCCAGAUGACAUUGUGUCAAUUGAGUUUGAGUCAGCUAGUAGCAAUCUAGAUAAAUAUUUUGCUCUCAAAUGCAGUUCUUUAGUUAUAUUUAAAUAAGACGAUAUGUUCUAGAAUAUGAGUUAAUGAACGGAUAACAUGCAUGCUUCUUAGACUGGCUUGUAUAUUUCGCUGGUAUGAACAUGAUAUACAUGAUUCGUAAAUGCUUAUAUCUUGCUAUUAUGUAAGUGGUAUGCUUUUUAAUGAUGUGAUGCAGUUGUAGUGGCGUGUAAUAUGUAUUCAUUGUAAUAUUUUCUUAGUUUUGGAGAUUGGUUAGUAUUUUGUGGUUGAUGACUGUAGCUCGCUUUUUCUCCUAAAAUUUACAUCUGUACAAAUUGACCAGAAUACACAUGCCAUAAAUUCACCUUUUCUCCUAUAAUAGUCUUAUAUACUUAGCACUCCGAUCUUUGUAGAAAAAACCUUACUGGGUCCAAAGCUGUCCAGAUGCAUGGUGAAUGAUGGCUGAGAUGUGGUGCAACACGGAAUGGAAAGAAAAUUCUUGUGCUUGCAGGGAGCGGAAGCGGAUGUUAUUGGGGUCACCGUUAAGAGAGUGCUUUUUUGGCCCGCUACCAAAGAAAAAUGGUUGCUCCUCCACUCAGGGGACAUGAUGCCGUCCCACUGUCCCUUUAUUGUGAUGCUGCCGUACACGCGCAUAUUGGGCUGCACUCUUAGGAUGGACACCAAGAUUGGCUUCCUCUCGCCAGCGCUGGGGCUGUGAGGAGCAUGAAGUAUUCCCGCCUCAUGUUAUUGCUAGAGUAAUCUUUGUAAGUUCUAUCUUGACUUCUUAUAAGAAAGGAUUGCUAUUGCUGUGCAAUUGUUCUGGGUGGUGUAGUUGUUGGAGUAAUCCAAACAUACGGAAGUUUCCAUGUUAAAGUCGUGUAGCUAGCACGUGCAAGUGCAAGUGCAAGUUGUGUCCGGCCAGAAUUACCAAGCAUGAUCAAGCUGGCCGGGUGAUUAGUUUUGGAAAGAGUGGUCUAUGUGUGAUGAUAUAGGAAAGGUUUAGCGUGUACCGAUGGUGGAGUCGGUUCGUGUCCAGGUCAUGUACGGGUAGGUUUAGGAUUGGUGUUUUGAGUCGGCUACUAGUCUGUCCAACGUUUAGGUUGAUGCAUAUAUAUAUGCAGCGUUGCGUGUGAGUUUUGUAACACAGAGAAAAAAGAAAUAAAGUGGAGAAACAAGGGCACGACAAGGGCCCUUGGCUAUCAGUUUUGCAUGCGCGUGUGUUCGUGCAAUUUGAUGUGAUCGAUCCUGUGGGCGAAUUUCCAACAGUAGUAUCUUGGCACCUUGUUAGGAUUAACAUGAUAUGCCAUUUAUUGUCUCUCUAAUGAAUACAUACAGUACUUGCUCUUUCUAGUGUUAGUUUGGGUUUGCAGACCAUCUAUCCUCAUAAUCUGUUUACAUGAUUGUUGUCUUAAAAAAUAUGGAUUUUUUUUUAUGUGAAGAAGCAUUAAUGCAUUUUAGGACUCCACGAGUUGUGUGGCCUUAGAAAAAAAUUGGCCUCCUCGCGUGAGUGUUGCUUGCUUUCUUUGUAUUUCUGAAAUACGAAGGCUUGGUGACUGAUCUGAUUGGUAUGUGUAUGACGUCCUUGUGUCCGUAUAUUCUUCAGUGGAAUAAUUGUUGUAUUAUUCUGACUAGCUCUUACUUUCAGGUGGUUGUCAAAAUACACUAUGGAACAUAAAUACUUGCUUCUUUUUUCAGGUUAUUGUAUACUGCUCUUGCACUCACAAGUUUAUAGAUGUGUGUUUUGUCAGCUAAACAGAUAUAUUGCUAGAAUCUAAGGAAGUUUUUGGACAUUUUAAUAUCUAUCCGAUGAAGUAGCACUCUAGGAUGGAUCCGUUUCUAACUGAAAACAGAUGUUGUAUUUAGUGAUGUUGCAUUUGUAGGACAUAUGCCCAUGUAUGUAUGUAGGGACGAUGGAUUGUUGUCCUUUUGGCUGUGACGUAGUACCGGACUUGUGAACCUACAAAUGUAUAUCUAAUUAUGUAUGCCAUGAUGUAGUACUGGGCUUGUGAACCUACAGAUGUAUAGCUAUGUAUUGUUGAGAUAUAUUAUGAUGCAACCUAAUUACUCUA